rnacentral:rRNA from 1 species
UAAGCGGAGGAAAAGAAACUAACAAGGAUUCCCCUAGUAACGGCGAGUGAAGCGGGAAAAGCUCAAAUUUGAAAUCUGGCAGCCUCAGGUUGUCCGAGUUGUAAUCUAUAGAAACGUUUUCCGCGCUGGCCCAUGUACAAGUCCCCUGGAAUGGGGCGUCAUAGAGGGUGAGAAUCCCGUCCUUGACACGGACCACCAGUGCUUUGUGAUACGUUUUCAAAGAGUCGAGUUGUUUGGGAAUGCAGCUCAAAAUGGGUGGUAAAUUCCAUCUAAAGCUAAAUAUUGGCGAGAGACCGAUAGCGAACAAGUACCGUGAGGGAAAGAUGAAAAGCACUUUGGAAAGAGAGUUAAACAGUAUGUGAAAUUGUUGAAAGGGAAACGAUUGAAGUCAGUCAUGUCUAUUGGACUCAGCCGGUUCUGCCGGUGUACUUCCUUUAGAUGGGGUCAACAUCAGUUUUGAUCGCUGGAAAAGGGCAGGAGGAACGUAGCACUCUCGGGUGAACUUAUAGCCUUCUGUCGUAUACAGUGGUUGGGACUGAGGAACGCAGCAUGCCUUUAUGGCCGGGGUUCGCCCACGUACAUGCUUAGGAUGUUGACAUAAUGGCUUUAAACGACCCGUCUUGAAACACG